rnacentral:lncRNA from 1 species
UAAAAGUCCAGCCAUAAUAAUAAAUCUAGCUGUUUGUUAGUCUUUUCAUGAUUUCAUUUUGCUUCAACAUAAGGCCUCCACAAGUACAGGGCAUGAUUGGGUGCAAUUGGUCCAAUCACCUCAGAUCCGGUGCUGGGGCCCAUUACCUGAUUACUUCAAUCUCCUUAUCUCACUUCACUGGACUUUUUUCUCUGGGAUAUUUGUGGGAGAGAGUGUAUGACAUUCUUGUGACAAAAGUAAAAGAUCUUCAAAACCAUAUCAUUACUACUUGUGAAAAGAUUUCUACUGACACUCUAAAGGCUGUGAGGAACUCCAUUCGACAUCAUGCUCAACUGUACU